UCUCCGUUGGUGAACCAGCGGAGGGAUCAUUAUCGAGUUUACAACUCACCAACCCCUGUGAACCUACCUAUACUGUUGCUUCGGCGGGAACAGAUGGCCCCGUGAAACGGGCCACCCCCGCCAGAGGACCCCCUAACUAUGUUUUAAUAAUGUUUCUCUGAGUAAACCAAGCAAAUCAAUUAAAACUUUCAACAAUGGAUCUCUUGGCUCUGGCAUCGAUGAAGAACGCAGCGAAAUGCGAUACGUAAUGUGAAUUGCAGAAUUCAGUGAAUCAUCGAAUCUUUGAACGCACAUUGCGCCCGCCAGUAUUCUGGCGGGCAUGCCUGUCCGAGCGUCAUUACAACCCUCAGGCCCCCGGGCCUGGCGUUGGGGAUCGGCGGAGAGCCCCCUGCGGGCAAACGCCGUCCCCCAAAUUCAGUGGCGGUCUCGCUGCAGCCUCCAUUGCGUAGUAGCUAACACCUCGCAACUGGAACGCCGCGUGGCCAUGCCGUAAAACCCCCAACUUCUGAAUGUUGACCUCGGAUCAGGUAGGAAUACCCGCUGAACUUAA
rnacentral:rRNA from 1 species